UCAAUAAUCACGUAUUGCGGACAAGAAACGGAACUUAUGUGUUCCACACAGAGGAAGACAUUAGAGCGAACACUAUGGCUUAAAUUCUAUCGAAAUUUUCAGUUCAAUUUUGUCAAACAGUUCGACAUCUCAAACCCCAGGUAAGAAACAUGAAAAGUUACUUACAUUAAGUGUUUUAAUCGCUACGCUUAGCGCUGUAAUAACGAUAUUCCAUCAGAAAAAUUCAACGUUCUCUCUGAGAUAUUGUUUUAAUUGUAAUAAUACUUGCUGAGUAUUGUUAAAGAGAUUUGAGAAAUAUUUAAUAUUAAAUCUUAUUAGCCGAUGUGAUAUACUAGCUCUAUUUUUCUUAUUAUAGUAAAACUUUCGAAUGAAUGUUUGAAUUUCAGUGCUGAAUGAGUAAGAAAUUAAACCUACAGACGAAAUCUCAAAUACAAGAUCAAAAACAUGAAAAGUUACUUACAUUAGGUGUUUCACUCGCUACGCUUAGCGCUGUAAUAACGAUAUUCCAUCAGGAAAUAAAAUUAUCAUUAUUCAGAAGAUUUAUCGAAUCUAUAUUAGGAACAUCGCAAACUCCAUAUAUUUCGGAUAAACACUGCAAACGCUUCAAAAUUAUUUGGAAACGUAUACUUG
rnacentral:lncRNA from 1 species